UGAAAACCUGAAAGUGGUGGAGAAAGCCAUGUUAUGAAGAGAGACAGAUUCCAGCAGAGGGAACAAAUGCAAAUGCCUGAGUGGGAGCAGGCCUACCAACGUGAAGGAAGAUUAAAGGAGCCAAUGCAGUCGAAGUGCAGAAAAUGACAGGUUCAACCAGCUGUUGCUUCAAAACAAACAAGCAGAGCCUUUCUGAGGUAUACAACUUUACCAGCUUCCCCCAGACCAAUAUGGAGAAAGAGCUCUUAGGGUGUAUACUCCAUGGAGUCUGCUGUCGUGAACGUGUUUUACUAUACAGAAUUACAGCAUGAUAACUGCACCUUAUAUGUUUCAUCUUUACAGAUAUCUUUCCACGGUUAUUUAUACAAUAAUUCU
rnacentral:lncRNA from 1 species